rnacentral:rRNA from 1 species
AACGUAUCAGGAUUGACUCUCAAGUCUGUGUCCGCUACGCGUUGGGAGAGUCCUAUUGAAAGUGUUAAAGCUAUCAGAUUUCAAUGUUCAGACAUUCGGGAGGCUCUACUUCAGGUAUCUGAAACUGAUAGUGAUCCAAAUGCAAGCAGUGAGGCUCUAGGUUUGGAAAAUAAUGAACUUGGAGAGUAUGAAUUUAUCAUGGCAAUAGUCAUUUGGUAUGAGGUAUUAUUUGCUGUUAAUUUAGUAAGCAAAAACUUGCAAACAAAGGAUAUGCUUAUUGAUGUUGCUAUUGAGAAAGUGAAAGGGCUAAUUUCUUUCUACGAGGGGUACAGGGAAAGUUUCUUAGAAGCAUUGGAGAUAGCCAAAGAAAUUGCACUUGAGAUGGAUAUUGGUGCAACAUUUCGUAAAAGGAGAGAAAUUAAAAGAAAGAAAUAGUGUGAUGAGAACCCAAACGACACAAAUAUUGCCACACGGUCUGCAGAGGAAUCAUUUAGAAUCAACUAUUUUACACCAAUUGUCGAUCAAGCAAUUUCCUCACUCACAAGGAGAUUUGAGCAAUAUCAAGGUUACUAUAAAAUUUUUGGUUUCUUAUUUACCUCUGAAACAUUGCGUUCAUUGGAUAAGGAUAGUUUGAAAUCUUCUUGUGUUAAUCUUGAGGCCGCCCUUAUGAAGGAUAAACAAUCUAAUAUUGAUGCCAAUGAUCUGUUUGUUGAGUUGAAGUUCCUUCAAAAUUUCAUGCCAAAAGAAAAUAUCGGACCUGUUGAAAUUCUGAAUUUUUUAAAGUGGCAUGACUGUUUUCCCAAUCCAAGUAUUGCAUAUAGAGUUCUGUUGACCAUUCCUGUGACAGUUGCAUCGGUAGAAAGAAGUUUUUCUAAGUUGAAGCUAUUGAAGUCCUAUAUGCGUACUACUAUGACACAACAAAGACUCAAUGAUUUGGCCACAAUAGCACUUGAGAGUGAAGUGUUGGAGAAGAUUGAUUACGAGGAUAUCAUUGAAGAUUUCAUAUCAAAGAAUACUAAAAGAAUGAAGUUUUUCAAAUAA